rnacentral:tRNA from 1 species
GUGGGUAUGCUCAGUGGUACAGCAUAUGCUUAGCAAGCACGAGGUCCUGGGUUCAAUCCCCAGUAUCUCCA